UUAUUUGUGAGCAGUGUUUGAAUCUAAGCAUGUUUUUGUAUGAAUUGUGUGUGUGAACGUAUGGGUCUGUUUUUGUUUAGUGUUGCCAUUUGAAAGCAGUGGUGUACUUCUGUGUUUUGCAUUUGAAUGCUGGGCUCUAUUUGUAUAUAGUGCUGUUUUUUUUUUUUAAAUGUGGGGUGUAUUUGUGUGUAGUUUUGGUGUUUGAAUGCUGGGGUAUGUUUGUUUAUAAUGACUUUUUUAUUACGUGUGUGUGUUUGAAUGUAAUGUUUACAUUUUGAUUGCAGCUUUGUGUUUUGUAUGUAGUUUUGGCAUGGGAUUGCACAAGUGUGUUUGUAUGUAGUGUUGUCGUUUGUAGUGUUGAUGGGAUCUAUGCACACAUGUGGCCGCCAUCAGGGCAUGACAACCAUGACGGUUGUCAUGGGCCCAGCAGUACUGGGGGGCCCGGACUGCACUGGCAGUCUCGGCCCCCACAUUCCCUAUGUG